GAGCAUGCGCCAGGGAAAGUCGCACGCCCCUGCGACACUCCACCGGAAGGGGAGGGGAUUAGCGCAUGCGCGCUGUGCUCUCUUGUGGGGAUGAGCGCGAGCCCGGCUGCCCCCGGGGAGCCGUGCCGCAAAGCUGCUCCCAGUGACCGCAGUGGCUCCUGGUUUGCAUCUUGCGCCUGUUGCAAAAGGCAGGGGGAAGGAGGACUUGUGGCACCGUAGAGACUAACAGGACUAAGGUGCCACAAGUCCUCCUUUUCUUUUUGCGAAUACAGACUAACGCGGCUGCCACUCUGAAAAAAGGCAGGGGGUUGGACUAGAUGACCCCCUGAGCGCUCUUCCAGCCCUGAUCUUUCCCCCACCCUUUAACCUGUUCGUAGAAUCAUAGAAGGAGAGCACAGAUGUGAAGUGGCCGGGGUGCUGACGGGUCACGCCUCUUCGUCUUCCGAAGGAUUUGACUGUGAUGAAAGCAGUGAGUUUAUGCACCAGCUCAGGAAAGGUGGGUAUUUACCCAUAGACAUCUGCAAAAGUAACUCAUCCUUCAAAGUCCUCCAUAAAAUGCUUUGGUGUGAGGCCUACAAAAAAAUAGCCUACAGCUAGGCGGAGACCACACCAACGUUGUCUCAGUUUCCUUGUACGCCCCACCCCCAUUUGUUCAUGCCUAUCUGUUGUUGUUGUUUUAUACUUAACGUGUAAGCCCUUUAGAGGCAGGGACUGUCUUUUUGGUCUGUAUUUGUGCAGUGCCUUGCACAGUGGGGUCCUGGUCUGUGGCAGGCUCCUCUGUGCUGUGAUAACACAAAAUAAAAAUAGUUGUAAGGAGUGUCAUGGAAGAAAGCGGGAAGAUAGUUGGAUGAGACACAAGGGAGCUGUGCAGUUGGGAUCAAAGCAGCCGGCAGCAGACUUAGGACUGAUCUACGCUCAAAACUUACAUCAGCAUAAUUACAUUUCCCAGGGGUGUGAAAAAUCCACACCCCCGAGAAAUGUAGCUAUGCCGCCCUAAUCCCUGGUGUAGACAGCAGUAGGUUGACAGAAGAAUUCUUCCAUCAACCUAGCUCCCACCUCUCAGGGAGGUGGAUUAACUUCCAGCAGUGGAAGAACCCCUGCUGUCACCGUAGUGGGCGUCUCCACUGAAGUGCUACAGGUGCACAGCAGCUGUAGUACUGUAGUGUUUUAAGCGGAGACAUAGCCUUAGACAAAAAGAAACUACCAUUCCUGCAAACAAGGACAAAGAGCUUGAACUUGCUUUAGCUCAGAAGGAACGAUGCGUUGGAGCUGUGUUGUCUAGUCUGCUGCUUCCCCUACAGUGGGGAUCCCAUUUUCACAUAUGGGGGGACCAAGAGCCAAAACUAUUGCUGAAACACAGGAUCUUCCUGUGGGAGCCUUGACUUUAGCUGAUCUGAGGGGACUUGUAGGCGGGUCUCCCUCCCACUCUUAUUUUGCAAGAAGGAUUAACCCCAUUUCUCCCCUCUCCUGGUAAUGUGAGGGAAUCUCGCAGAGGAUCAUUGGAGACUUCCUCUUCCCAAGGACCUUCCGCUGGGUUUUACUGUGGCGGGGGCAGUCCAGGCCACACUUUGGAGAGGCAGCUGAUGUGAAGUUGUGGGAUGAGCAAGAAAACACAAGCCUAACUAAAACAUGGCAAUGCACCUAUACGGUUUCAUCUCAUUCAGAAAAGACACCUUUUAGAAUCCAAAGUAAAGAAAUGAUUGGUUUAUUACAUUGAAAAAGUGAGCCCUGGCCAGCAAGCCAUUUUUAUGGUAAAGCCAGAGGGCACUUGUGAACCUGCUGUAGCAAUAAGGCUGAGUGGUUUCUUCUUACUGAGCAGCAGAUUGUUGUAGUGCUUAGACUUACUGCCAACAACCCUCCUCUGAAGAAGGGAGCAUAAAGACAGGGGAACACAGGCAAAGUGACUUGUCCGAGGCCAGAGAGAGGGUCCAGUUUUGCACCUGGCCAAAUCAAUGGGAGCAAAGCGAGUGGCAAAGUUGGGUUUACAACACAGUAGAUCCUGCCUUCCAUUUCCAUGCUUAACCUACACUG